UACGUAGGUGGCGAGCGUUGUCCGGAUUUACUGGGCGUAAAGCGCGCGUAGGCGGCUUUGCAAGUCGGGUGUGAAAUCCCCAGGCUUAACCUGGGAACUGCAUUCGAGACUGCAUUGCUAGAGUAUGGGAGAGGGAAGUGGAAUUUCCGGUGUAGCGGUGAAAUGCGUAGAUAUCGGAAGGAACAUCAGUGGCGAAAGCGACUUCCUGGACCAAUACUGACGCUCAUGUGCGAAAGCGUGGGGAGCAAACAGG
rnacentral:rRNA from 1 species